rnacentral:rRNA from 1 species
UACGUAGGGUGCGAGCGUUAAUCGGAAUUACUGGGCGUAAAGCGUGCGCAGGCGGUUCGUUGUGUCGGCGGUGAAAGCCCCGGGCUUAACCUGGGAAUGGCCGUCGAAACUGGCGAACUGGAGUGUGGCAGAGGGGGGUGGAAUUCCGCGUGUAGCAGUGAAAUGCGUAGAGAUGCGGAGGAACACCGAUGACGAAGGCAGCCCCCUGGGCUGACACUGACGCUCAGGCACGAAAGCGUGGGGAGCAAACAGG